GGAGAGGUGGCUGAGUGGUUGAAAGCGGCGCCCUGCUAAGGCGUUAGGGGGUUUACGCCUCCUCGAGGGUUCGAAUCCCUCCCUCUCCG
rnacentral:tRNA from 2 species